GAAUUGACGGGGCCGCACAAGCGGUGGAGCAUGUGGUUAAUUCGAAGCAACGCGAAGAACCUUACCAGGUCUUGACAUCCCCUGACAACCCGAGAGAUCGGGCGUUCCCCUUCGGGGGACAGGGUGACAGGUGGUGCAUGGUUGUCGUCAGCUCGUGUCGUGAGAUGUUGGGUUAAGUCCCGCAACGAGCGCAACCCUCGACCUUAGUUGCCAGCAUUCAGUUGGGCACUCUAAGGUGACUGCCGGCUAAAAGUCGGAGGAAGGUGGGGAUGACGUCAAAUCAUCAUGCCCCUUAUGACCUGGGCUACACACGUGCUACAAUGGGCGGUACAAAGGGUCGCGAACCCGCGAGGGGGAGCCAAUCCCAAAAAGCCGCUCUCAGUUCGGAUUGCAGGCUGCAACUCGCCUGCAUGAAGCCGGAAUCGCUAGUAAUCGCGGAUCAGCAUGCCGCGGUGAAUACGUUCCCGGGCCUU
rnacentral:rRNA from 1 species